rnacentral:lncRNA from 1 species
GUAUUUGAAAUAUAAUGAUAUGUAUAGUUCAUAUACAUCACUGACUUUGUGUAUUGUAUUUUUAUAGUUUCUAUAGAAAUUGUUUGAUUUAAUUAUACUAAUAUACAUAUUAGAAGUUAUGUAUAUAUAUGCUAUUGUUAUGCAUAUUCAAUAUUUUAUGACAGAAAGGUCUAUGGGAUUAAGUUGUUUUAGAGUAUGCUUUAACUAAUUUUUUUGACGUAAUAUGCAUAUCAGUAUUUUUCAGUAAUAUGAGGUUGUAGGCGGGGACGAAUUAUAGUAAUUUGUUCCAACCCGAGACAUAAACAAAGACAGGGAUAAUCAGACUUGCCAGAAGAGUUGAUGUAUAAAUAAAAUCACCCAAAAA